GAAGUACUCCAUCCGUUCGGAAUUACUUGUCUUGGAAAUAGAUGUAUCUAAAAUUAAAAUACAUCUAGAUAUAUCCAUUUCCGCGACAAGUAAUUUCGAACGGAGGGAGUAGCAG
rnacentral:pre_miRNA from 1 species